UGAACGCUGGCGGCCGCCUAACAAUGCAAGUCGAGCGGUAACAGGUGUAGCAAUACAUGCUGACGAGCGGCGAACGGGUGAGUAAUGCUUCGGAAUCUACCCAAUGGUGGGGAAUAACCAGCCGAAAGGUUGGCUAAUACCGCAUAAGUCCUACGGGGGAAAGCAGGGGAUCGCAAGACCUUGCGCCGAUGGAUGAGCCGAAGUCGGAUUAGCUAGUUGGUAGGGUAACGGCCUACCAAGGCGACGAUCCGUAGCUGGUCUGAGAGGACGACCAGCCACACUGGGACUGAGACACGGCCCAGACUCCUACGGGAGGCAGCAGUGGGGAAUAUUGGACAAUGGGGGAAACCCUGAUCCAGCGACGCCGCGUGUGUGAAGAAGGCCUGCGGGUUGUAAAGCACUUUUAGUGGGGAUGAAAAGCUCAGGGCUAACACCUCUGGGUCUUGACCUAACCCAAAGAAAAAGCACCGGCUAACUCUGUGCCAGCAGCCGCGGUAAUACAGAGGGUGCGAGCGUUAAUCGGAAUUACUGGGCGUAAAGCGUGCGUAGACGGUUAUGUAAGUCGGGUGUGAAAGCCCCGGGCUCAACCUGGGAAUGGCAUUCGAGACUGCAUAGCUA
rnacentral:rRNA from 1 species